AUAGCAGCAGCAUGCGGGCAGCUUGAUUGUCUCCUGAAGAAGGGUGGAACACCGACUCAUGGACUUAGCAAUGGUACAGCAUCUGGCGAAAAAUUGCAUCGAAAUGGAAAUGGAACGACUCUUGCCAAUGGAUCUUUAGAUGGGAUUUAUCGCAAUGGGAAUGGUGUACAUGUCUAAGGAAACAGUAAAAACACUAUUGGGGUCAAUGGCCUUGUGAUCGAUCAAAUUUUGCUAGUGCCUUUCUUCCAGUCGAUAUGUAUAGGUUUUACAGCUUCUCUCGUUAAGGCUAUCUAGUUAUAGAGCUAAAUUCCGGUCUUUGUUACGG
rnacentral:misc_RNA from 1 species